rnacentral:rRNA from 1 species
CCUACGGGAGGCAGCAGUGAGGAAUAUUGGUCAAUGGGCUUACGCCUGAACCAGCCAAGUCGCGUGAGGGAAGACUGCCCUAUGGGUUGUAAACCUCUUUUGUCAGGGAGCAACGCCGGCUACGUGUAGCCGGACUGAGAGUACCUGAAGAAAAAGCAUCGGCUAACUCCGUGCCAGCAGCCGCGGUAAUACGGAGGAUGCGAGCGUUAUCCGGAUUUAUUGGGUUUAAAGGGUGCGUAGGCGGAAUGCCAAGUCAGCGGUAAAAUCGCGGGGCUCAACCUCGCUCCGCCGUUGAAACUGGCGGUCUUGAGUGGGCGAGAAGUAUGCGGAAUGCGUGGUGUAGCGGUGAAAUGCAUAGAUAUCACGCAGAACUCCGAUUGCGAAGGCAGCAUACCGGCGCCCAACUGACGCUGAGGCACGAAAGCGUGGGUAUCGAACAGGAUUAGAUACCCCUGUAGUC